rnacentral:lncRNA from 1 species
UUGUAUUUGUUGUAGAGACACGGUCUCACCAUGUUGCCCAAGCUGGUCUCAAACUCCUGGGCUCAGGCAAUCCUCCUGCCUCCGCCUCCCAAAUUGCUGGAAUUACAGAUGUGAGUCACCACCUUUAUCUCUUUAUCUCUCUUUAUCUCUCUCUCUUUCUCUCAGGGAUCUUGCUCUGGGGAAAGCCAGCUGCAGUGUUGUGCGGGCUGCCUGAGGAAAGGUGCCCUCCGGAAAGAAAUGAUAUCUCCGCCCAACAGCAUGGUGGACCUGAGUCCUGCUACCAGCCACAUGAGUGCGCUUGGAAGCAGGUGGAGCCCAGUUGAGCCUUGAGGUGCCUCCCUCUGUGAGAGACCCCAAGCCAGAGACAUCCGGCCAAGAGGCACCCAGAUUCCUGCCCCACAGAAACUGACAUAAUAACGUUGUUUAAAGCCACUACAUUUGGAGGAUGAAUAGCCUUGGAAGAUAGAGAUCGUGUCUCCCUCCAGAGCAAAGGGCAGAUUAGCUUCAAUGAUGACAGAAGAUCCCGGUUCCCGGGCUCAGAGCUCCGCUGCUGUAACGUAAGCCCUUCUGUCCUCAUGUCACCUAGAGCCUCUUCCUGUCACCCUGUGGGAAGUGAUUCUGAGGAAACCAGCACAAUUGCAAACACUCUGGCUACUGCUUUGCUGUGACUAAUAAACAUCCUUUGUCUUGUCUCUGGCC